rnacentral:rRNA from 1 species
CAGUAGCGCGGUAAUACAGAGGGUGCGAGCGUUAAUCGGAUUUACUGGGCGUAAAGCGUGCGUAGGCGGCUUCUUAAGUCGGAUGUGAAAUCCCUGAGCUUAACUUAGGAAUUGCAUUCGAUACUGGGAAGCUAGAGUAUGGGAGAGGAUGGUAGAAUUCCAGGUGUAGCGGUGAAAUGCGUAGAGAUCUGGAGGAAUACCGAUGGCGAAGGCAGCCAUCUGGCCUAAUACUGACGCUGAGGUACGAAAGCAUGGGGAGCAAACAGGAUUAGAUACCCCAGUAGUCCCUGUCUCUUAUACC